rnacentral:rRNA from 1 species
GGGCCCGCACAAGCGGCGGAGCAUGCGGAUUAAUUCGAUGCAACGCGAAGAACCUUACCAAGGCUUGACAUGAACCGGAAACACCUGGAAACAGGUGCCCCGCUUGCGGUCGGUUUACAGGUGGUGCAUGGUUGUCGUCAGCUCGUGUCGUGAGAUGUUGGGUUAAGUCCCGCAACGAGCGCAACCCUCGUUCUAUGUUGCCAGCGCGUGAUGGCGGGGACUCAUAGGAGACUGCCGGGGUCAACUCGGAGGAAGGUGGGGACGACGUCAAAUCAUCAUGCCCCUUAUGUCUUGGGCUUCACGCAUGCUACAAUGGCCGGUACAAAGGGUUGCGAUACUGUGAGGUGGAGCUAAUCCCAAAAAGCCGGUCUCAGUUCGGAUUGGGGUCUGCAACUCGACCCCAUGAAGUCGGAGUCGCUAGUAAUCGCAGAUCAGCAACGCUGCGGUGAAUACGUUCCCGGGCCUUGUACACACCGCCCGUCAAGUCACGAAAGUUGGUAACACCCGAAGCCGGUGGCCUAACCCCUUGUGGGAGGGAGCUGUCGAAGGUGGGACUGGCGAUUGGGACU